CACGUAGGGUGCGAGCGUUGUCCGGAAUUAUUGGGCGUAAAGAGCUCGUAGGCGGUGUGUCGCGUCGGCCGUGAAAACCUGCAGCUUAACUGUGGGCUUGCGGUCGAUACGGGCAUCACUGGAGUUCGGCAGGGGAGACUGGAAUUCCUGGUGUAGCGGUGGAAUGCGCAGAUACCAGGAGGAACACCAAUAGCGAAGGCAGCUCGCUGGGACGGUACUGACGCUAAGGCGCGAAAGCGUGGGGAGCGAACAGG
rnacentral:rRNA from 1 species